rnacentral:rRNA from 1 species
UACGUAGGGGGCAAGCGUUGUCCGGAAUUAUUGGGCGUAAAGAGCGCGUAGGCGGUCCGGUAAGUCGGCUGUGAAAGUCAAGGGCUCAACCCUUGAAAGCCGGCCGAUACUGUCGGACUAGAGUCCGGAAGAGGCGAAUGGAAUUCCCGGUGUAGCGGUGAAAUGCGCAGAUAUCGAGAGGAACACCGGUGGCGAAGGCGGUUCUCUGGGCCUUACCUGACGCUGAGGAGCGAAAGCGUGGGGAGCGAACAGG